GAUGAACGCUGGCGGCAUGCCUAAUACAUGCAAGUCGAACGAAACUUCUUUAUCACCGAGUGCUUGCACUCACCGAUAAAGAGUUGAGUGGCGAACGGGUGAGUAACACGUGGGCAACCUGCCCAAAAGAGGGGGAUAACACUUGGAAACAGGUGCUAAUACCGCAUAACCAUAGUUACCGCAUGGUAACUAUGUAAAAGGUGGCUAUACUACCGCUUUUGGAUGGGCCCGCGGCGCAUUAGCUAGUUGGUAGGGUAAAGGCUUACCAAGGCAAUGAUGCGUAGCCGAAUUGAGAGGUUGAUCGGCCACAUUGGGACUGAGACACGGCCCAAACUCCUACGGGAGGCAGCAGUAGGGAAUCUUCCACAAUGGGCGAAAGCCUGAUGGAGCAACGCCGCGUGGGUGAAGAAGGUCUUCGGAUCGUAAAACCCUGUUGUUAGAGAAGAAAGUGCGUGAGAGUAACUGUUCACGUUUCGACGGUAUCUAACCGGAAAGCCACGGCUAACUACGUG
rnacentral:rRNA from 1 species